GCAUGUGCUGUGAGCUCGAUGAGUAGGGCGGGACACGUGGUAUCCUGUCUGAAUAUGGGGGGACCAUCCUCCAAGGCUAAAUACUCCUGACUGACCGAUAGUGAACCAGUACCGUGAGGGAAAGGCGAAAAGAACCCCGGCGAGGGGAGUGAAAAAGAACCUGAAACCGUGUACGUACAAGCAGUGGGAGCACAGGUUUACCUGUGUGACUGCGUACCUUUUGUAUAAUGGGUCAGCGACUUAUAUUCUGUAGCAAGGUUAACCGUAUAGGGGAGCCGUAGGGAAACCGAGUCUUAACCGGGCGUUAAGUUGCAGGGUAUAGACCCGAAACCCGGUGAUCUAGCCAUGGGCAGGUUGAAGGUUGGGUAACACUAACUGGAGGACCGAACCGACUAAUGUUGAAAAAUUAGCGGAUGACCUGUGGCUGGGGGUGAAAGGCCAAUCAAACCGGGAGAUAGCUGGUUCUCCCCGAAAGCUAUUUAGGUAGCGCCUCGUGAACUCAUCUCCGGGGGUAGAGCACUGUUUCGGCUAGGGGGCCAUCCCGGCUUACCAACCCGAUGCAAACUGCGAAUACCGGAGAAUGUUAUCACGGGAGACACACGGCGGGUGCUAACGUCCGUCGUGAAGAGGGAAACAACCCAGACCGCCAGCUAAGGUCCCAAAGUCAUGGUUAAGUGGGAAACGAUGUGGGAAGGCCCAGACAGCCAGGAUGUUGGCUUAGAAGCAGCCAUCAUUUAAAGAAAGCGUAAUAGCUCACUGGUCGAGUCGGCCUGCGCGGAAGAUGUAACGGGGCUAAACCAU
rnacentral:rRNA from 2 species